rnacentral:rRNA from 1 species
ACUGCUCAGUAACACGUGGACAACCUGCCCUUAGGUUGGGUAUAAACCCGGGAAACUGGGUAUAAUACCCGAUAGGUCUCGAUUGCUGGAAUGCAUCGAGAUUUAAAGCUCCGGCGCCUAAGGAUGGGUCUGCGGCCUAUCAGGUAGUAGUGGGUGUAGCGUACCUACUAGCCUACGACGGGUACGGGUUGUGAGAGCAAGAGCCCGGAGAUGGAUUCUGAGACACGAAUCCAGGCCCUACGGGGUGCAGCAGGCGCGAAAACUUUACAAUGCUGGCAACAGCGAUAAGGGAACCUCGAGUGCCAGGUUACAAAUCUGGCUGUCGAGAUGCCUAAAAAGCAUUUCAUAGCAAGGGCCGGGCAAGACCGGUGCCAGCCGCCGCGGUAACACCGGCGGCUCGAGUGGUAACCGUUAUUAUUGGGUCUAAAGGGUCUGUAGCCGGCCGGAUAAGUCUCUUGAGAAAUCUGGCAGCUUAACUGUCAGGCUUUCAGGAGAUACUGUCUGGCUCGAGGCCGGGAGAGGUGAGAGGUACUUCAGGGGUAGGGGUGAAAUCUUGUGAUCCUUGAAGGACCACCAGUGGCGAAGGCGUCUCACCAGAACGGACCUGACGGCAAGGGACGAAAGCUAGGGGCACGAACCGGAUUAGAUACCCGGGUAGUCCUAGCCGUAAACGAUACUCGCUAGGUGUCGGCCACGGUGCGACCGUUGUCGGUGCCGUAGGGAAGCCGUGAAGCGAGCCACCUGGGAAGUACGGCCGCAAGGCUGAAACUUAAAGGAAUUGGCGGGGGAGCACCACAACGGGUGGAGCUUGCGGUUUAAUUGGAUUCAACGCCGGAAAUCUUACCGGGACCGACAGCAAUAUGAAGGCCAGGCUGAAGACUUUGCCGGAUUAGCUGAGAGGUGGUGCAUGGCCGUCGUCAGUUCGUACUGUGAAGCAUCCUGUUAAGUCAGGCAACGAGCGAGACCCCUACC